rnacentral:rRNA from 1 species
UGGGGAAUAUUGCGCAAUGGGGGAAACCCUGACGCAGCGACGCCGCGUGCGGGAUGAAGGCCUUCGGGUUGUAAACCGCUUUUGAUUGGGAGCAAGCUUUCGGGUGAGUGUACCUUUCGAAUAAGCGCCGGCUAACUACGUGCCAGCAGCCGCGGUAAUACGUAGGUCCCGAGCGUUGUCCGGAUUUAUUGGGCGUAAAGCGAGCGCAGGCGGUUAGAUAAGUCUGAAGUUAAAGGCAGUGGCUCAACCAUUGUAGGCUUUGGAAACUGUUUAACUUGAGUGCAGAAGGGGAGAGUGGAAUUCCAUGUGUAGCGGUGAAAUGCGUAGAUAUAUGGAGGAACACCGGUGGCGAAAGCGGCUCUCUGGUCUGUAACUGACGCUGAGGCUCGAAAGCGUGGGGAGCGAACAGG